CACCAAAUCAGUGUAGUCGAUGUAAAUACUAUCUUUACCACCAUGACCAUGGCCACGACAUCAAGAAUUGAUCCAACUCCAAGAUGAAGUUGAGGAGUUCAUCUGACGAGGAUGACUGGAUCAUUUUAUUCACCGAAUAAGGAGGAAACACGAGGAGCCACCAAGGGUACCUCACUAUUCGAAACACUCUCGUCAAGAAGAGCCAGUAGAG
rnacentral:lncRNA from 1 species